GACGAACGCUGGCGGCGUGCUUAACACAUGCAAGUCGAACGGAAAGGCCUGCUUUCCCUUGUGGAUUGCGGGUACUCGAGUGGCGAACGGAUGAGUAACACGUGAGUGAUCUGCCCCCAACUUGGGUAUAAGCCUGGGAAACUGGGUCUAAUUCCCGAUAGGACUGCAGGGUGGUGCCUGUGGUGGAAAACGAUUUUCUAGUGGUUGGGGAUGAGCUCGCGGCCUAUCAGCUUGUUGGUGGGGUAAUGGCCUACCAAGGCGGCGACGGGUAGCCGGCCUGAGAGGGUGGACGGCGACAUUGGGACUGGGAUACGGCCCAGAGUCCUACGGGAGGCAGCAGUGGGGAAUAUUGCACAAUGGGCGGAAGCCUGAUGCAGCGACGCCGCGUGGGGGAUGACGGCCUUCGGGUUGUAAACUCCUUUCGACCGCGAGGAAGCCACCUGGGUGGGAGGGUGGUGACGGUAGUGGUAGAAGAAGCACCGGCUAACUACGUG
rnacentral:rRNA from 1 species